rnacentral:misc_RNA from 1 species
GAUGAAGAACACAGUGAAACGCGAUAGUUAAUGUGAAUUGCAGAAUUCAGUGAAUCAUCGAGUCUUUGAACGCACAUUGCGCCCCCUGGUAUUCCGGGGGGCAUGCCUGUCCGAGCGUCAUUGCUGCCCAUCAAGCGCGGCUUGUGUGUUGGGCCGCCGUCCGCCUUCCCCCCCGGGGGGAGGGGGACGGGCCCGAAAGGCAGCGGCGGCACCGCGUCCGGUCCUCGAGCGUAUGGGGCUCUGUCACCCGCUCUGGAGGCCCGGCCGGCGCCCGCCGACCCCCAACCUUCUUCUAACCAGGUUGACCUCGGAUCAGGUAGGGAUACCCGCUGAACUUAAGCAUAUCAAUAAGCGGAGGA